rnacentral:lncRNA from 1 species
AGAUGCAAGUUCUGAAUAAGCAGAAUUAGAAGAAAACAAAUAGAAUUUCUUCAUAAUAGCAAACCUUUUCAGUUUAUCUUCUACAAUGGGUUUACCAUUACUUGAUUUUCAUUCUUCUUACUCCUUUGAUCGGGAUGUCCCUUUUAUCACCACAAUUUUGUGAAUAAUAUCAGAUUUUAUAUUUAACCCAGCUUCUCAAAUUGUUAAGAGAGUGUGACUGAACUUUUCCACCAUGGAAAAAGAAUAAAAUUGAUGGUCUUUCAGUCCUGUUAAUGGACUAGAUUGAUGGUAUUCUGUGGCAUUAUAAAUGCUCUAAGAAAUUCUUUCCAAAAGAAAAAUAAAUGUAUCUGUCAGGUAAUUAAUUCAUGCACUGUAGUCUAUGCUGUUAUGCAGACUUUUCAGUCCAUAUCUUGACUUUCUGAUUAUGCCCAUUGGCCCAGUUCCAUCUGCUUUGAACUGUUCUCUUCCCUGUUGAUUUUGAUCCCAAAAGUGAAGAAGCAAUGGGUUACUGGCAACUGAGAAAACAAGGAUUGAUUACCACAAAGUAUUUAAACUUGAGAAAAUGAGAAGCACCUUUCAAUCUAUGUCAGUGACCUAAGUAGCCCAGGACACUGUCAUCAACCCACAUUUCUGCUACUUGGCAACUAAAAGCAGGUAAAAGCAGAACUUGUGUGCACCUCCUCUCAGAAGAAUGGAGUAAAAAAGAAAUGGCAGGGUUUUUUCUUUCUUGUGCUAAUGUCUUUUGCAGAAUCAAUAAAUAUGUGAUAUCUCGAGGAGUCUAUCCACAUGCAUGGCAGGGGCUGACAGCUUCCAUUCCAGAAUCUGAUGUACAGUAUUUGAGAGACAGAGGUGGAAAUACAUGCUUUCAGGCACAUCUUUAUACAUGGUGAUAACUGCUUAAGAUAUCAGGAUCUUAUUCCUUCUCUUUGAAUUGAAUGGUAUGUAGUACUCUCUAUCAUCUCAGAGACUAAAAAAAUUAGCCAUGUAACUACAAGCCAUGGUUUGGGCUUAUGUUCCAAUGUCACUGCUGGAGAAGCAGCAGAACAAAGUUUCAAAUCAUUGUAUGAAUAAA